AUAUAAAUCUUGUGACGCGCGGUGUUCAACUUUAGUCAGCGCCAGGCGCUUACCGAGGAGGGACGUAUCGCUCGCUGUUGCGCCGCGUAAACUCGCCGGAGUUCGAAAAAUAUAGCGCAACCUACGCAUCUAACACGUUUUGAUACUAGAUAAUGAAAGCAUAUUUAAUUCAGACUAUCAGACUCAAUUGAAUACCAGUACAAAUAAUAUGGAAAAUGAAGAUACAAUACAUGGAAGACGAAUUAUAGAUUUUAGUUUUUUUAUAAAUCAAUUACUUAUAAUUGAUAAACAUGGUGAAAAGUUUGGUUGUCGAUUAAAUAAUUUAAAAAUUGUAAACGAUUACUUGUUUAUUGU